UACGAAGGGGGCUAGCGUUGCUCGGAAUCACUGGGCGUAAAGGGUGCGUAGGCGGGUCUUUUAAGUCAGGGGUGAAAUCCUGGAGCUCAACUCCAGAACUGCCUUUGAUACUGAGGAUCUUGAGUUCGGGAGAGGUGAGUGGAACUGCGAGUGUAGAGGUGAAAUUCGUAGAUAUUCGCAAGAACACCAGUGGCGAAGGCGGCUCACUGGCCCGGUACUGACGCUGAGGUGCGAAAGC
rnacentral:rRNA from 1 species